rnacentral:lncRNA from 1 species
CCGCUUCCUGUCGGGUCAGCAGCGGCAUUAGCGUCUCAUAGGAGCAUGAACCCUACUGUGAACUGCGCAUGCGAGGGAUCUAGGCUGCGCGCUCCUUAUGAGAAUCUAACGCCUGAUGACCUAUCACUGUCUCCCAUCACUCCCAGAUGGGACCGUCUAGUUGCAGGAAAACAAGCUCAGGGCUCCCACUGAUUCUACAUUAUGGAAAUUUCAUGAUCCGACUGGAAUCCAGGAAAAUCACAGCUGAAAUACAAAACAUCAGCCCUUAUCUCCAGCACUGUACAUGGCAGAAACUGCUUUUAUUCUAGAUGUCUAGAUCCAGAUCAACUGCAUGGGGUCCUACAGGAGAAGACCAAGAGACAGAGACAGAGACCAGGGAAAAUGACCGAUACCAUUCCUUCUCAGGGAUGCUACACACCCAUGGGGCAGAGGAUAAGAGGUUCCUGAAGGCAUCACCCCUCUGGCCAUGGCUGGUGUGCAGACAAAGCUGGAGAUUUGGAGUAGCCUGUUGUCCCACUGACUCUUAGACUGCCCCAGCUAAGAAGAACCAACUCCUCCUAUUACAGAUGAAAUAAACAAAGCUACUCAAGCUCUCUGGCAUCGCCCUGACGGUCAUCAUGUGCUUCACAUUUCCCUCCUGCCCCCCCUGAUUUUCUGGAAAAGGGAGAAAGUGUGUGAAAAAAAAUGGACAAUAACUUCUGUUAACUUUGUAGAUGUCUGGUUCCUCCAUAUGAGGCUGUGCUUGAAUCAAUUUUGGAGAGAGGGUUUCUAAAGUCUCUCUAGAUUCUAUUAAUUUUGAUAGAGACAAUAAAAGGCAGCAGGACCAACUCUGUGUGGUGGGAGAUCUAGCAACCAUUAUAGUCACAAUAGCCACCACUUACUGAACACCCACCAUGUGACAAAGAACAAAUGUGCAUGAAUUAUGUCACAUUUUUCACAAGCACCCCUUGAGUUGGGAGUUCACUCAUGAGGCAACUGAGGUUCAGGGAGAUGAAGUAACUCACCCUGUAGGUAGGAGGGCUGAGAUCUGGACGUAGAUCUUUCCUCCAAAGCUUUGUCUUUUUUUUUCUACUAUAGCACACCAAAGAGAGUUCUAGAAAAAAUGAGAAUAAGAAAUUUACCUGUAAUCCUUGCUCAAGAAACUGAAGCUCUGAGGCCACAUUGUUCCAGCCUUUUGCAGCUCCUGCAUGUGGAUACCAGCACCAGCAGCUCCCCGACCAGGGGCCCCAGCUAAGCCCUCCCAGAGGAUGAUCUUGGCUUUGUACAUGGGGUGUCAAUAUCCUGUGAGUCCAACAGAGGGAAGACAUAAGAAUAUGGUCACCCAGGUUUUGUACAGAGGAAAUCCAGGCUCCUAACGAUGGCGAAAGAUGGGAAUAAAAGGAUCAGAACACUGAGCUGGAUCUUCAGUUCAUUUCAGGUAUGGAGAAGGGUAAAUGGUCUUUAAAGAAGGCCGACCUCAAUGAAGGUGUCUUCCAAGGCCUUGUCCACUCAAGGACAUGUUGCAUGCCUGAAACUGAGUAUACAGGAAAAGGAUAGAAAUGGAAUAAAAUGGAAACCCAUAAAUCACACUACCCUGCUAUGCAGUUUCAAACCACUGACUUAAUGAAAUGUUGAUCCACUUUGCCAUGGAUGCCCCACUUUUUAACUCCUUCUUCAGAGUCCCAGGAGGUGAGGCUCUUCUGUUUAACUGAUUUGCAGAAUUUUUGCUUCUGCUAUUACAAUGGCUUCCAUAGUUGAGUACCAAAGACACUUUACUAUGGUGCCACAGAGAUCAUUUUGCAGAUGAGGAAACAGACUGUUCUACUACCCAGGCUUUGGUUUUUUCUACUCAGUCUUGCACAAUCUCUCACUCUCAGCCCAGAACAUUGCUGCAUUUUUGUGAGCCAUCAGCAUCCAAAGUGAACACAGGGUCUAAAUAACUGAAGAUGGCAUGAGGGAACACACAAUCAGGUCUUUAAAAAAAGAAGAAAGUGAAUAGGCAAACUGAACAGGACAUCUAGGACUGAAAAGCCUCUGUGAACAACUGGACUCAAUAUGAAAUUGGCGUGAGCUCACAGAAGACCAGCUGAGUUCCAGAUGUGGUUGGGUAGCUUGGGUUAUGGGCCCGUAUAAAAAAAAUGGUCUCUUCUUGUAAAAGGAAUUCAAAAAAAGACUAAAAGUCACCCCAAAGAGUCACUGUCUUUGUCUUUUGGCCAUUAGUAAGUCAGAAGAGACCUCUAGAGGAGACUGGAUUUUGUGGCUGAUUAUCGAUUAAUUGAUCAUCACUGGGUAUCUUUGGGAGUGUUGCCUUCUCAGGGAGAAGCUGAAAAUCAUUCUGUGAAAGGUAUGUCCACUGACAAUCAUUUAAGCUCUUUGGAGGCAAGAAAUCAGGUAUCUGGGAGAACUCAGAGAUAACAUAGGAGCGACAGGCUGAAACCAUGAGCGAGAUGGGCAGAUGGCUUGAGAAUGACGAUGGGCAGAGGAGAGCAGUGGCAGGGAGAACCCACAGGCCUCUACUUGGAGUCAGCCUGUCAGCAGGAUAAGCUACAAGAUCACCCUCGAGGGAAACUGCAGGCCAGGUCAGGGGCACUGCAAGCUGCAGGUGUGCCCAGGCAGGAGGGCAGGUGGCCUGUGAUGAGGGGCCAUGACUGUGUGGUGGGCUCUCCCACACCAGGAGCAACUAGACACUAGACUGAAAGUUCUUUUAAGUGAGGGAGCCAUCUUCUGUCCAGGGAAAAGUGGUUCGGGAUACAGGAGGAGCCCUGCACCACAGAAUCGGUCUAGUCUCAGGCUGUCUGUUCCACAGGAGCCUCCAGCCCAGUGAUGUAGGCAGCUAUUCACAACCACAUCAUGGCACAAAGUGAGGCCUCCCAAUCCACAGCCAUCCCUGAUUACAGACACUUCACUGGAUGUCUGAACAUAGCUGUGUGUGCCUGGAAAGCCUAGAAAUAGAAACGCUCCUUUUUUCCCCAAGACGAUCAUCUCUACAUCCUGACCUGGAUCAACAGUGAUCCAUUCUGGACAAUCCUGGACACUCCUGCUCCUGGAGAGAAGGGAUAGAUAACUUUUCCACCUGCCUGCCUGUCCUGUCCACCUCGAGGUGGUCUUGUGGCAUCUUGGGCCUCACAUGUCCCAUAGUCUCUUCUCAUCCCUCCAAUUUGCUCCUUCUCCAGACUUCUCUCUCUUGGUUGAGUGGUUCCACCAUUUUCCCAAGUUGCUUGGACCCAACACUUGAGUUACAGCCAACUCCUCUCUUUCUCUCACAACCCAAAUCUAAUUCAUCAGUAAGUCCUGGUGGCUCCACAUUCGGAAUGUUCCUGGGAUGCCACCACUUUUUGUCAUCUCUGUUACUGCUAGCCUGCCCCUUGCUACUGUCAGCUCCAGCCUGGAGGACUGAAAUAACCUCCUCACUGUCUCCAGCUGUUCUUCCCGCCCAUGGUCUAUUCCCCAGACACCACCAGAGGGAUGCUUUGAAGUCCAGAUGGCAUCAUGUCAUUUAGAAUGAAACCUGAGGUCCCAAGUGUGGCCCGAGGGAUGGUCAGGUUGCCCCCAGGGCUCCAUUUCCUGCCACUCUUCCUCUCUCUCACUCUGCUGGAGCCACAUGGUUACUAUUCCUGAACACAGGAGGCUCCCUCCUGCUUCAGGUCUCGUGCAGAUUUGUUCCCACAGCCUGGGGACAGAUUUUAUCCCAGAAGUUCCCAGGGCUUGAUUCCUCCCUUUAUUUAGUUCUCAGCUGAAAUGUCCCCUCUUCUGAGCAGCCUUCUCUCACCACCCGAUGGAAGCAGCCGUCCCUGCACGCUCUAUCACUUCACUCGGCUCUAUUUUUCUUCCUAACACGUUCACAACUUGACAUUCUUUUAUAAUUUUUCACUUAUUUAUUGAGUGCUGUCUCUUCCACUAGAACCCCUGAAAGCAGGGAUUUUUAUAAUCUUUUGGCCACCACUAGAUUCAUAAGGAUGCACAGAGCCUGGUAGGCUGCAGGCUGUCCAUAACUGCUUGUUGAAUGAAUCGAUGGAUGAAUGAUCAGCAGAAGCUCGUUUCUCUCCAUGAAAUACAACGGGUUCCAAAGAAAUCGAAGCCUUUUUGAAAGGCCUAGCCAUACUUCACCCAUACAGCUGCAGUGGCAGAUCCAUGCUCAUGACCUCAUUUCUCUCC